rnacentral:lncRNA from 1 species
UUGGAGGCUCUUGCACAGCUCUGAGGAGUUUGCUGUUUGGAAGCUCUUGCAUGGCUGGGGAGGAGUGUGGAAACCUCCAGGAGCCUCUGCAGCAGAGCCUUUGUGGCUCCUGCUUCUGCAAGCACUCAUGAGUUUAUUCUUUAUUGGUUUUUUUCUCAUCUCAAAUGCUCCACCUGACCUGUAAUACUUUCUGUGAGGUUGUCCAGAUAUAGGGGAGGGGAUGUACUGAUGUAAGAGCAGAGGCACUUCCAAUGAUAAGGGCAGCAGGUCCAGCCUCAAAUUCCCCACUGUGCCAAAAUCCUCUCUUCCUAAGGAGGACACUUUGCAUAUUGUGAUGACCUGACUGGAAGAGAGGUUGAAGCAGAAUGAAGUGUGUGAACGCUGCAGGGACCGCGACUGACAUGAGGGCUGCGUUCCUGGUGCUGCUCCUCUGUGCUGUGGCCUGUGCUCACCCUGUAAGUACCCUCUGGACUGACACUCCCACCCCAAACCCCUUAGUUUUGCCCAGCUGAUCAAAUCAUCACUGAUCAAAUGUCUCCUGGAUGUGUUUAGGUGCCUGGCCAUGAACCCACCCACCCCAGCACCCUGCAGGAGGUAAGCCACAGGUGCCCCUGUCCCAUAGGUAGCAGCCCCUUAGGGAGCAAAUCUGGGAUGGGGAGCCAGCCCUGGGCAGGCAUCCUUGGACCAGGAAUCUGGGAGGGAUCUGCUGCUUCUGUGGGUCUCUGAGCUUUGUCUGUCUGCUCAGUCUUUUCAAGCUGGGUUGCUGUCACCCUGUUUUGGCUUGCCUCCCUGAGAAAGUUCCCUGUUCACCUGAUGCCUUUUGCUGUGCUGGCCCUGAAAAAGGAGUUUCUGUGCUCUGAACUAGCCCAGCUUGGGCUUUUCUGGGCUGCCCUUUUGUUGGUGGCUACCACUUUAUUUUGUAUCAGCAGAAAUAACUAAAGGGCUGAGGUGCAAGAAAUAAAAAAGGCUUGAGCUCUUGCAUGGCUCAGGAGUGAGCAGUAGCAGUAAACAUGGUGUGGCUGAUGUUUAA